UGCAAACGCCCUUACAGUAUGGCAUAUUAUUUUUGUUUCUUGCAGUCUACAACUACACCAUCAGAAGGCAGUGCCAGUAUUGACCCCAUGUGUGAACWUGCCCUCAGGGAAGGAGAUGUGGUUUGGGUAUUUGGAAAACCAAGGAAGGACGGUUUCUGUGAAGCUGAAGUGUUACUUUAACUACUUGUUCCUUGGGUAAUCAAGGAUUUGCAGAACUARAGAAGUAUCUGCUUCU
rnacentral:lncRNA from 1 species